AGAGUUUGAUCAUGGCUCAGAUUGAACGCUGGCGGAAUGCUUUACACAUGCAAGUCGAACGGCAGCAUAGGUGCUUGCACCUGAUGGCGAGUGGCGAACGGGUGAGUAAUACAUCGGAACGUGCCCAGUCGUGGGGGAUAACGUAGCGAAAGUUACGCUAAUACCGCAUACGAUCUACGGAUGAAAGCGGGGGACCGUAAGGCCUCGCGCGAUUGGAGCGGCCGAUGUUAGAUUAGGUAGUUGGUGGGGUAAAGGCUCACCAAGCCGACGAUCUAUAGCUGGUCUGAGAGGAUGAUCAGCCACACUGGGACUGAGACACGGCCCAGACUCCUACGGGAGGCAGCAGUGGGGAAUUUUGGACAAUGGGCGCAAGCCUGAUCCAGCCAUUCCGCGUGCAGGACGAAGGCCUUCGGGUUGUAAACUGCUUUUGUACAGAACGAAAAGCUCUGGGUUAAUACCCUGGGGUCAUGACGGUACUGUAAGAAUAAGCACCGGCUAACUACGAGCCAGCAGCCGCGGUAAU
rnacentral:rRNA from 1 species